rnacentral:rRNA from 1 species
UGGUGGAGCGAUUUGUCUGGUUAAUUCCGAUAACGAACGAGACUCUGGCCUAUUAAAUAGUUCGCCGAUUCCGAUCUGUCGGCGUUAACUUCUUAGAAGGACAAGUGGCUUUUAGCCACGCGAGAUUGAGCAAUAACA